GACGUAGGUGGCAAGCGUUGUCCGGAGUUAUUGGGCGUAAAGCGCGCGCAGGCGGUGCGGUAAGUCUCUGGUGAAAGCGCUCGGCUUAACUGGGCGAGGGCCGGGGAGACUGCCACGCUGGAGGGGAGCAGAGGCGAGUGGAAUUCCGGGUGUAGUGGUGAAAUGCGUAGAGAUCCGGAGGAACACCAGUGGCGAAGGCGGCUCGCUGGGCUCUACCUGACGCUGAGGCGCGAAAGCGUGGGGAGCGAACCGG
rnacentral:rRNA from 1 species